rnacentral:rRNA from 1 species
GGUACGGUACGACCUCAUACAGGGGGAUAACAGUUGGAAACGGCUGCUAAUACCGCAUAAGCGCACAGUACCGCAUGGUACCGUGUGAAAAACUCCGGUGGUAUGAGAUGGACCCGCGUCUGAUUAGCUAGUUGGUGGGGUAACGGCCUACCAAGGCGACGAUCAGUAGCCGACCUGAGAGGGUGACCGGCCACAUUGGGACUGAGACACGGCCCAA